CAGCGUUGUGAGUGGAUGUAAAGGGGGUCCCAUAUAUAUCCAAUCACGAUGCGGGUGGCCGUGCCGCUCCACUCAUCUGUUUUCGUUUUGGAUCGAGGCGUUCUGGCGCCAAAUCUUAGCUUCCCUAUUUAUUAGCCCCCCUCCCCAAGAAAUGCUCCUUCCCCAAUUUCUUGUUCCUCCGGCGACCCUCCUCCAUCUCCCCUCUCCGAGCCUCCGUCUCUCCCUCGCCCCCGCGGGUGGCGGCGAGCCAUGGCUGAACACGGCUUCAAGAUCGAGAUCGCCUUCGUCGGGAGGUUAGCGACCAUCGCCAUUGCCGGCUGCUUCGCGGAGCUUUGCAUCGUUCCAUCGGACACCAAGGCCUUCACCCACAGCCACCCCCAAUUGUUGGGUAACUUUGGAGGUAUGGAUAGAUAGGUUAAAUCCUUGUAUGUUGGUGAAAUUUUCAUGGGAGAUGUUCCUUUGACCAAGAAAAUUUUUUGCUGGGCUAAACAACUGGUUGGCUAUCCAUGGAUGUUUGAACUUGUGGGUUUGACUGAUGCUGUGUAGAUGGUGUCAGUAGAUCGUAUCGUUCCAGUUCACUUCUUGACCACUAGACAUCCUAACUUGAUCGUUAUAAUAAAAUUAGUUGCCUUGGCAAGUAGUGUGUCAAAUC